UUCUCUCUUUGUUUAGGCAGAUCAUUAUUUAUUUAACUGUAGUUGCAUUGUGAAUUAUUUGUAUUAUGUUGUUCCAGAUCAUUUUCUCAUAGUGGCUUUGAUUUGGCUCUGCCUUGGUGUUUGAGCCCAAAGUUGAAUCUUUUUCUCUUUGUUUUCUUGAAGUGCAGGAUAUAAUCUGAAAUUCCAUUUGUUGAGUCUCUUACAUCACCAUGUGUGUGAUGUGGAAUGAAGAGAUGUGAAAGAUGGAUUCAUGAGACCAAGCGUGGGUGAUAAUGAACUCUGAAAACAUUUUAUAAAACAAUUAUCCCCAUUCUUCUUCUCUGUUAGCACUUUGUUUGCAAAAUACUUCUUAAUUAUUUGUUAGCGAUACAUGUCAGCUGAGGUCCUUUUUAUGCCCCUGGUCUAGAUGGUGGUGAUGGAUUAAAUGGGUUUCUGUAGGUCCCAGAGAUUUUAAGGCUAAUGAUAAUUAAGUAUUGUUAUUGGGUCAGGCAGUGUUCUAGGAUAUUUACCGUUUUUACACUGAUUUGUCCCUCCCAACAACCUUCUGGGAUGGGUUACUAUUACCGUAUUCAUUUUACAAAUGAAACUGGGAUUCAGGAUGGUUAAAUAACUUAUCCAAGGUUACUUAGCCAGAAGUUGUCAAGUCCAGAUUUGAACCCAUGCUGUCUGGCUCCAGAGUCCAUGAUUCUAGUCAUUGCGCUAUACUGUACUGUGUAGUUUCUGAAUUAUAUAUGGUCAUUUGGUGCCCAAGCUUGCACCAUAUCCUGUCUAAGGAGUUUUAAUUUGUACUUUGUUUGGUGUCUCCCUGUAAUGAUAUAAAUGGCACUGAAACAUAUAUAGGCUGGGGACAGUUAAUUUCAGGUUCCACUGGAAUAGGAACUGUUGAUUAGACUGUGGACCCUGCGAAGACAUGAGCUCAGCUCAGUGACAGUGGAGUGUCCAGAUCCAGUCACUGCUUUGGCUUUUUUGAGUUUCACUCUGUGUGACCUUUUAGAUGCUUGUAAAGUUUGGUUAUUGUGGGUUUUUGGUUUUUUAAAAUUAUCUUUUUUUUUUUGCUAUGAACCUCAUUUAACCUGUCUUUUAGUGACUACCGUAAAAAACAAGAAUACCUCAAAGCUCUUCGGAAGAAGGCUCUUGAAAAAAAUCCAGAUGAAUUCUACUACAAAAUGACUCGGGUUAAACUCCAGGAUGGAGUACAUAUUAUUAAGGAGACUAAGGAAGAAGUAACCCCAGAACAACUAAAGCUGAUGAGAACUCAGGACGUCAAAUAUAUAGAAAUGAAGAGGGUUGCAGAAGCUAAGAAAAUCGAAAGACUAAAAUCAGAGCUCCAUCUGCUGGAUUUCCAGGGGAAGCAACAGAACAAGCAUGUGUUCUUUUUUGACACCAAAAAGGAAGUCGAACGGUUUGAUGUCGCAACUCACCUGCAAACAGCCCCGGAGCUAGUCGACAGAGUCUUUAAUAGGCCCAGGAUAGAGACCUUACAGAAAGAAAAAGUGAAAGGAGUUACCAAUCAGACUGGACUUAAGCGAAUAGCUAAAGAAAGGCAAAAGCAGUAUAACUGCCUGACACAGCGGAUUGAACGAGAGAAGAAAUUGUUCGUUAUUGCUCAGAAAAUUCAAACACGCAAAGAUCUUAUGGAUAAAACUCAGAAAGUGAAGGUGAAGAAAGAAACGGUGAACUCCCCAGCUAUUUAUAAAUUUCAGAGUCGUCGAAAACGUUGACGUGUUAUAGAUAAGCCUUGUCAUUCUGUAUCAAAAAUCUGUUGUCGUUUUCUAGUAACUUCAAAUUCCAUUACUCCAAAUGGCAUGGUUUUCCGGUUUGUAACCAUAACUAAAUUGUCAGUCUGACAUUUAAUGUCUUUCUAUGGACAACAUUAAAUCUCCCUCCCUUCUGU
rnacentral:sRNA from 1 species